rnacentral:rRNA from 1 species
GAUGAACGCUGGCGGCGUGCUUAACACAUGCAAGUCGAACGGAAAGGCUCCUGCUUGCAGGGGUACUCGAGUGGCGAAGGGGAGAGUAACACGUGGGAGAUCUGCCCUGCACUUGGGGAUACGCCUGGGAAAGUGGGUAUAAUACCGGAGAGGACCACAUUAUGGAUGGGGUGGUGGAAAGUUUUUCGGUGGGGGAUGAGCUCGCGGCCUAUCAGCUUGUUGGUGGGGUAAGGGCUUCCCAAGGGGUCGACGGGAACCGGGCCGGGGGGGGUGUACGGCCACAUUGGGACUGAGAUACGGCCCAGACUCCUACGGGAGCCAGCAGUGGGGAAUUUGGCACAAUGGGCGCAAGCCGGAGGAAGCGACGCCGGUGGGGGAAUGACGGCCUUCGGUUGGUAACCUCCUUUCGCUAGGGACGAAGCUCUAGUGACGGUACCUGGAGAAGAAGCACCGGCUAACUACGUG